UGUCUUGUAGAUGGAAUGAUGGUGACUUAAACCCUCACCAGAGUACCAAUUGGAGGGCAAGUCUGGUGCCAGCAGCCGCGGUAAUUCCAGCUCCAAUAGCGUAUAUUAAACUUGUUGCAGUUAAAAAGCUCGUAGUUGAAUUUCAGCGUUUCGCGUGUGCCUCUUUUGGCCCAUCUCGUCUCGCUUUUUUUAUUACUUUGAGAAAAUUAGAGUGUUUCAAGCAGGCUUUUGUCUUGAAUACUUGAGCAUGGAAUAAUAGAGUAGGACCUUGGUUCUAUUUUGUUGGUUUUGUUACCUUGGUAAUGGUUAAUAGGAACGGUUGGGGGCAUUCGUAUUUAACUGUCAGAGGUGAAAUUCUUAGAUUUGUUAAAGACGAACUACUGCGAAAGCAUUUGCCAAGGACGUUUCCAUUAAUCAAGAACGA
rnacentral:rRNA from 1 species